rnacentral:rRNA from 1 species
AGCGAACGCUGGCGGCAGGCCUAACACAUGCAAGUCGAACGAAGUCUUCGGACUUAGUGGCGGACGGGUGAGUAGCACGUGGGAACGUGCCUCUAGGUUCGGAAUAACUCAGGGAAACUUGUGCUAAUACCGAAUGUGCCCUUCGGGGGAAAGAUUUGUCGCCUUUAGAGCGGCCCGCGUCUGAUUAGCUAGUUGGUGAGGUAAAGGCUCACCAAGGCGACGAUCAGUAGCUGGUCUGAGAGGAUGAUCAGCCACAUUGGGACUGAGACACGGCCCAAACUCCUACGGGAGGCAGCAGUGGGGAAUCUUGCGCAAUGGGCGAAAGCCUGACGCAGCCAUGCCGCGUGAAUGAUGAAGGUCUUAGGAUUGUAAAAUUCUUUCACCGGGGACGAUAAUGACGGUACCCGGAGAAGAAGCCCCGGCUAACUUCGUGCCAGCAGCCGCCGUAAUAC